ACAACGAAGAGUAAAACUAGUGUCAUGGGCCUGCGAGUGUAGCCCAAAACUGAUCACAACCGGCUAUCGCUCGCUGUUGCCUCUCCAGAAAUUGAAUCCCCAAAUAUAUUCGGCGGAAUCAAAAUCCCUAACCCUAAUUCCCUAGUCGACAUCGUCGCUCGCAUGACACCUUUGUCGAGUUAGUAAAGAAAAGAACUCGAAGCAGAGGAUAAUGACGAUUGGAGGCCUGCGCUAAAGGGUGUUUGGGUUGUUCUACAUUUCGGUUCAAAGCACAAGUCGCUC